UACGGAAGGCAGCAGUGGGGGAAUAUUGCACAAUGGGCGCAAGCCUGAUGCAGCCAUGCCGCGUGUAUGAAAAAGGCCUUCGGGUUGUAAAGUACUUUCAGUCGUGAGGAAAGGUGUUAAGGUUAAUAACCUUAGCAAUUGACGUUAGCGACAGAAGAAGCACCGGCUAACUCCGUGCCAGCAGCCGCGGUAAUACGGAGGGUGCGAGCGUUAAUCGGAAUUACUGGGCGUAAAGGGCACGCAGGCGGUUAAUUAAGUUGGAUGUGAAAUCCCCGGGCUUAACCUGGGAAUGGCAUUCAAGACUGGUUAGCUAGAGUCUUGUAGAGGGGGUAGAAUUCCAUGUGUAGCGGUGAAAUGCGUAGAGAUGUGGAGGGAAUAACCGGUGGCGAAGGCGGGCCCCUGGACAAAGACUGACGGCUCAUGUGCGAAAGCGUGGGGAGCAAAACAGGGAUUAGAUACC
rnacentral:rRNA from 1 species